GGGUUUCACCGUGUUAGCCAGGAUGGUCUCAAUCUGACCUUGUGAUCCGCCCGCCUCGGCCUCCCAAAGUGCUGGGAUUACAGGCAUGGGCCACCGCACCCGGCCCUUAGUUAAUUUCUGGACCAAGGAAUUGGAAUCUGGGGUCUUUUAGGAAACGACUGGGGAUUCAGCAACCUGCCAAAUUGAGCCUUGGAGCAGCCUCUGAGAUGUUAGCUGUGGAGGAGGAGGCCCCUGCUUCCUGGGGCCCAUCAUCCAUUCCCAAAAGUGCUGAGCAUUGCAGGCUCUUCAAGAGCUGCGGUCAACACCAGCUCCAGGCCUCGGGCUGGAAGCCUCUUCAGCAAGUGCCGCAGGGAGGCCCUGGGUGGGUGAGCCGGGAGGUGGAAUUGCGUAACAGCUCUGUAUCCAUUGCUGCGGUCAUUAGCCAUGGAGAGGGUGACGGGGGCUGUAACGGGGCAAGCCUCCCGGGUUCCAGCUGCCAUCCUCGCCCCUCUGGGCUCUUUCCUCCCUGGCUCUGCUAUAGCCGGAGCGGUUGCAGGGCACACAUUACUCGGUGCAGUCGGACAUCUGGAGCAUGGGCCUGUCCCUGGUGGAGCUGGCCGUCGGAAGGUACCCCAUCCCCCCGCCCGACGCCAAAGAGCUGGAGGCCAUCUUUGGCCGGCCCGUGGUCGACGGGGAAGAAGGAGAGCCUCACAGCAUCUCGCCUCGGCCGAGGCCCCCCGGGCGCCCCGUCAGCGGUCACGGGAUGGAUAGCCGGCCCGCCAUGGCCAUCUUUGAACUCCUGGACUAUAUUGUGAACGAGCCGCCUCCUAAGCUGCCCAACGGUGUGUUCACCCCCGACUUCCAGGAGUUUGUCAAUAAAUG
rnacentral:sRNA from 1 species